AUCGCUUCUCGGCCUUUUGGCUAAGAUCAAAGUGUAGUAUCUGUUCUUUUCAGCUUAAUACUGAUGGUUACACUUAAAUAAGCAUAACCGUAAAGUUUUUUUUUUGAUAAUUUGAAAGUUGAUCAUAU
rnacentral:snRNA from 1 species